rnacentral:lncRNA from 1 species
ACUGAGAGAGCUGGCUGUCAUGGAGGGAAGGGAGCUGAAGAAGUGAGAAAUAAGGAGGAGAGACUCCUGAAGAUUGGACAGUCAGAUUUAAUGCUGUAUACCUUGGAGGAGCUCCAUCUUCAGAUUUGAUCAAGUUGGACCCUCAGCUGGACACUUGAUCACUGAUCAGUAUUGAAACCAAGAUUGUGUAGUUUCACAUCUAAAUAUUUGUGGAUGGAUCAGAUCAAACCAUUCACUGUGUUCGAGCUCUCAGUUUGACGCCCUCUGCUGGAUCGGUCUGCCCUGGUCAGUUCCUCAGCUGACCAUGGGGAACUACAACUCUGGACUGUACGCUGAUGUGGAACAUUUUAAAGGCAUUGUGUCUUCCCCAGGAAGAGUGACUUCUGAACAGCACAUGCUGGAGAACACCAGCCUUUAUAAUCAUGUUAGUGGUGCUGAGGAGUCAGUAGUUUGGGAGGAGAAUGUACCUGACCUGGCUGCCCUCAAAUUUCUCCAUACUGUACCAGAACCACGCAGAGGAAAGCCAGAGCCUGUUGCGAUUGCUGCAUCUCCUGCAGUCUCCUCUGGACCAGCACUAAAGCCCAGACCUCCUCCGUCCGGCCCGGCUACUCUACAGGGGCUCAGAGACGAGAUCCACGACAUGAGAGGAGAACUGGAGCUGCUGAAGAAUCAGCACAAGAGAGAGAUUACACUGAUGAUGAACGAACUGGACGAGGAGAAGAAAAUGCGCCUAUCGCUGCAGGUUGAAGUUGAUCGUCUUAAGAAACACAUGUCCAAGUGAUCUAAAUCAAACCAAAAUGGACAGAACAGAUCUCACUGUGACUCAGAGGAGAUACGCUGACCCUGGAUUUACCUCUGAGCUGAACCUGAAUCAAAGAUCCAGUGUGUUUAAGGCUUUCAGAAACACUGGAUGGUUCAGGAGUGACAUUGAGCUGCAAACCUGCCUGUGACAGACUGUGGUAGACUGUAAUAAACUGUUCUGAAAUUAAAUAUGUUCAGUAUAAAAUACAACAUAUUAUUAUUGACAUGUGAAUGGGGUCUAACACUUAUAAGAGUCUCAAGUCUCUUUAUCUUUAUAUGAAGAUUGAGCCAUUGUUCAAGUCUGUAACUCUGUGUUUUAAUCUUUUCCUGGUUUUAGUGUAUGGAUCAACCCUUUUGUCUGUUUGCAUAUC